UGGAAAACACUAUCCGAAAAGAGAAUUAUACUAAAGACCACCACUCUCUCUCAGAUUCGCAACUUUGAGUUUCAUUGCUUGUAAUGGCCAAAUGGUCCAAAUUUACAAUGCCUUCAAAUAGUUUGAGAUGACGUUGUCUUUUUACUUUCAUCGACGAAAAAGAAACUUUGAGUUAUGUAGUUUACUUGGUUGAGUGAUUGAAUAAUGAGGGAUACUCGCUCACUUGCAUGAUAUAUCCAUGACAAGAUUACAUAAAUAUGAGUAAAAACAAGAAUAAAAGUUAAGAAACAAAAAAAAAACGAAGUAGAACAAAAUUGGCCGUUAAAACAAGUCAAAAAGGUAUAGCCAAACUUUUUUGCUAUAAAAUCUUUCCCGUG
rnacentral:lncRNA from 1 species